CGAGGAAAAGAAAUCAACCGAGAUUCCCCCAGUAGCGGCGAGCGAACGGGGAGCAGCCCAGAGUCUGAAUCAGCUUGUGUGUUAGUGGAACGGUCUGGAAAGUCCGACGGUACAGGGUGAUAGUCCCGUACACCAAAAUGCACAGGUUGUGAACUCGAAGAGUAGGGCGGGACACGUGGUAUCCUGUCUGAAUAUGGGGGGACCAUCCUCCAAGGCUAAAUACUCCUGACUGACCGAUAGUGAACCAGUACCGUGAGGGAAAGGCGAAAAGAACCCCGGCGAGGGGAGUGAAAAAGAACCUGAAACCGUGUACGUACAAGCAGUGGGAGCACCUUCGGGUGUGACUGCGUACCUUUUGUAUAAUGGGUCAGCGACUUAUAUUCUGUAGCAAGGUUAACCGUAUAGGGGAGCCGCAGGGAAACCGAGUCUUAACUGGGCGUUAAGUUGCAGGGUAUAGACCCGAAACCCGGUGAUCUAGCCAUGGGCAGGUUGAAGGUUGGGUAACACUAACUGGAGGACCGAACCGACUAAUGUUGAAAAAUUAGCGGAUGACUUGUGGCUGGGGGUGAAAGGCCAAUCAAACCGGGAGAUAGCUGGUUCUCCCCGAAAGCUAUUUAGGUAGCGCCUCGUGAACUCAUCUUCGGGGGUAGAGCACUGUUUCGGCUAGGGGGUCAUCCCGACUUACCAACCCGAUGCAAACUACGAAUACCGAAGAAUGUUAUCACGGGAGACACACGGCGGGUGCUAACGUCCGUCGUGAAGAGGGAAACAACCCAGACCGCCAGCUAAGGUCCCAAAGUCAUGGUUAAGUGGGAAACGAUGUGGGAAGGCACAGACAGCCAGGAUGUUGGCUUAGAAGCAGCCAUCAUUUAAAGAAAGCGUAAUAGCUCACUGGUCGAGUCGGCCUGCGCGGAAGAUGUAACGGGGCUAAACCAUGCACCGAAGCUGCGGCAGCGACACUAUGUGUUGUUGGGUAGGGGAGCGUUCUGUAAGCCUGCGAAGGUGUGCUGUGAGGCAUGCUGGAGGUAUCAGAAGUGCGAAUGCUGACAUAAGUAACGAUAAAGCGGGUGAAAAGCCCGCUCGCCGGAAGACCAAGGGUUCCUGUCCAACGUUAAUCGGGGCAGGGUGAGUCGACCCCUAAGGCGAGGCCGAAAGGCGUAGUCGAUGGGAAACAGGUUAAUAUUCCUGUACUUGGUGUUACUGCGAAGGGGGGACGGAGAAGGCUAUGUUAGCCGGGCGACGGUUGUCCCGGUUUAAGCAUGUAGGCUGAUUGUCCAGGCAAAUCCGGAUAAUCAAGGCUGAGGUGUGAUGACGAGGCACUACGGUGCUGAAGUAACAAAUGCCCUGCUUCCAGGAAAAGCCUCUAAGCAUCAGGUAACAUUAAAUCGUACCCCAAACCGACACAGGUGGUCAGGUAGAGAAUACCAAGGCGCUUGAGAGAACUCGGGUGAAGGAACUAGGCAAAAUGGUGCCGUAACUUCGGGAGAAGGCACGCUGGUGUGUAGGUGAAGUCCCUGCGGAUGGAGCUGAGACCAGUCGAAGAUACCAGCUGGCUGCAACUGUUUAUUAAAAACACAGCACUGUGCAAACACGAAAGUGGACGUAUACGGUGUGACGCCUGCCCGGUGCCGGAAGGUUAAUUGAUGGGGUUAUCCGUAAGGAGAAGCUCUUGAUCGAAGCCCCGGUAAACGGCGGCCGUAACUAUAACGGUCCUAAGGUAGCGAAAUUCCUUGUCGGGUAAGUUCCGACCUGCACGAAUGGCGUAAUGAUGGCCAGGCUGUCUCCACCCGAGACUCAGUGAAAUUGAACUCGCUGUGAAGAUGCAGUGUACCCGCGGCAAGACGGAAAGACCCCGUGAACCUUUACUAUAGCUUGACACUGAACAUUGAGCCUUGAUGUGUAGGAUAGGUGGGAGGCUUUGAAGCGUGGACGCCAGUCUGCGUGGAGCCAACCUUGAAAUACCACCCUUUAAUGUUUGAUGUUCUAACGUUGGCCCCUUACCGGGGUUGCGGACAGUGUCUGGUGGGUAGUUUGACUGGGGCGGUCUCCUCCCAAAGCGUAACGGAGGAGCACGAAGGUUAGCUAAUCCUGGUCGGACAUCAGGAGGUUAGUGCAAUGGCAUAAGCUAGCUUGACUGCGAGCGUGACGGCGCGAGCAGGUGCGAAAGCAGGUCAUAGUGAUCCGGUGGUUCUGAAUGGAAGGGCCAUCGCUCAACGGAUAAAAGGUACUCCGGGGAUAACAGGCUGAUACCGCCCAAGAGUUCAUAUCGACGGCGGUGUUUGGCACCUCGAUGUCGGCUCAUCACAUCCUGGGGCUGAAGUAGGUCCCAAGGGUAUGGCUGUUCGCCAUUUAAAGUGGUACGCGAGCUGGGUUUAGAACGUCGUGAGACAGUUCGGUCCCUAUCUGCCGUGGGCGCUGGAGAAUUGAGGGGGGCUGCUCCUAGUACGAGAGGACCGGAGUGGACGCAUCACUGGUGUUCGGGUUGUCAUGCCAAUGGCACUGCCCGGUAGCUAAAUGCGGAAGAGAUAAGUGCUGAAAGCAUCUAAGCACGAAACUUGCCCCGAGAUGAGUUCUCCCUGAGACUUUAAGUCUCCUGAAGGAACGUUGAAGACGACGACGUUGAUAGGCCGGGUGUGUAAGCGCAGCGAUGCGUUGAGCUAACCGGUACUAAUGAACCGUGAGGCUUAACCUU
rnacentral:rRNA from 1 species